CAUUGACUACCCUAGCUUUCGUCUCUCAGUGUCAGUGUUGGCCCAGCAGAGUGCUUUCGCCGUUGGUGUUCUUCCCGAUAUCUACGCAUUUCACCGCUACACCGGGAAUUCCCUCUGCCCCUACCACACUCAAGCGAAGUAGUUUCGACUGCCGAUAUAAAGUUGAGCUCUACGAUUUAACAGUCGACUUACCAAGCCACCUACAGACGCUUUACGCCCAAUGAUUCCGGAUAACGCUUGCAUCCUCCGUAUUACCGCGGCUGCUGGCACGGAGUUAGCCGAUGCUUAUUCUUCAGAUACCGUCAGAACUUCUUCUCUGAAAAAAGGAGAUUACAACCCACAGGCCUUCAUCCUCCACGCGGCAUUGCUCCGUCAGGCUUUCG
rnacentral:rRNA from 1 species